rnacentral:miRNA from 1 species
UAUUGCACUUACCCCGGCUUAU